GUUCACAUCACCUCGCAGAACACAUCCAUACCAAAUAGAAGCAUUACGUCCGACAUGAACAUCACCAAUUAGAGAUGCACUUGGGGCCACAAAAGCAUCUUUAUCAACCGUUGGUGUUUUGUUAAACAAGUUCAUAAGAGUUCUAUGCCUUGACAGUUGUUCAUGGAAGUAGUAGUUUCCUUGGAGGCGGCAGCCCAAACGAUCAAUGGCUUGACCCGUUUCCCGGAUCCAGAAUCCGACUGUGUAGAUUGCUUUGCCCAGCGUACCCAUAUUCGUGAAAAAUGUGAUUCUGCAGAAGAAGGGAUUGUUCAGUUAAUUUAGCUCCAACACUGUUUUUGAAGAAGAAAAUGGAAUGAGU
rnacentral:misc_RNA from 1 species